rnacentral:rRNA from 1 species
GAUGAGCGCUGGCGGCGUGCUUAACACAUGCAAGUCGAACGAAGCAUUUAGAACGGAUUACUUCGGUUUGAAGUUCUUUAUGACUGAGUGGCGGACGGGUGAGUAACGCGUGGGUAACCUGCCUUGUACUGGGGGAUAGCAGCUGGAAACGGCUGGUAAUACCGCAUAAGCGCACAAUGUUGCAUGACAUGGUGUGAAAAACUCCGGUGGUAUAAGAUGGACCCGCGUCUGAUUAGCUAGUUGGUGAGAUAACAGCCCACCAAGGCGACGAUCAGUAGCCGACCUGAGAGGGGGAACGGCCACAUUGGGACUGAGACACGGCCCAGACUCCUACGGGAGGCAGCAGUGGGGAAUAUUGCACAAUGGAGGAAACUCUGAUGCAGCGACGCCGCGUGAGUGAAGAAGUAAUUCGUUAUGUAAAGCUCUAUCAGCAGGGAAGAUAGUGACGGUACCUGACUAAGAAGCUCCGGCUAAAUACGUGCCAGCCGCCGCAGUAA